rnacentral:rRNA from 1 species
AUUGAACGCUGGCGGCAGGCCUAACACAUGCAAGUCGAACGAGUGGCGGACGGGUGAGUAAUGUCUGGGAAACUGCCUGAUGGAGGGGGAUAACUACUGGAAACGGUAGCUAAUACCGCAUACCAUCGGAUGUGCCCAGAUGGGAUUAGCUAGUAGGUGAGGUAAAGGCUCACCUAGGCGACGAUCCCUAGCUGGUCUGAGAGGAUGAAGAGCAACACUGGAACUGAUACACGGUCCAGACUCCUACGGGAGGCAGCAGUGGGGAAUAUUGCACAAUAGGCGCAAGGCGGAUGCAGCCAUGACGCGGGUAUGAAGAAGGCCUUCGAGUUGUAAAGUACUUUCAGCGAUGAGGCGAUACCCGCAGAAGAAGCACCUGCUAACUACGUGCCAGCUGCCGCGGUAAUAC